rnacentral:rRNA from 1 species
AUUGAACGCUGGCGGCAGGCCUAACACAUGCAAGUCGAACGAGUGGCGGACAGGUGAGUAAUGUCUGGGAAACUGCCUGAUGGAGGGGGAUAACUACUGGAAACGGUAGCUAAUACCGCAUACCAUCAGAUGUGCCCAGAUGGGAUUAGCUAGUAGGUGGGGUAACGGGUCACCUAGGCGACGAUCCCUAGCUGGUCUGGGAGGAUGACCAGCGACACUGGAACUGAGACAAGGUCCAGACGCCUACGGGAGGCAGCAGUGGGGAAUAUUGCACAAUGGGCGCAAGGUUGAUGCACCCAUGCCGCGUGUAUGAAGAAGGCCUUCGGGUUGUAAAGUACUUUCAGCGGGGAGGCGUUACCCGCAGAAGAAGCACCGGCUAACUCCGUGCCAGCAGCCGCGGUAAUAC